UCUAGAAUUCUCUGUUCCUACUCCUCUCCUUCUCCUUCUCUCUGUCCCGCCAUUUCCACCUCUGGUAAACUCAAAACCCUAACUCUCUCUUCCUCCUUCCUCCCUUCUUACUCAUUAACCACCACCUCCGCUUCUCAAUCCACUCGUCGCUCCUUCACCGUCCGCGCCGCUCGUGGAAAGUUCGAGAGGAAGAAGCCUCAUGUCAACAUCGGAACCAUCGGUCAUGUUGACCAU
rnacentral:lncRNA from 1 species